GUCGAACGGAAAGGCCCUUCGGGGUACUCGAGUGGCGAACGGGUGAGUAACACGUGGGUGAUCUGCCCUGCACUUUGGGAUAAGCCUGGGAAACUGGGUCUAAUACCGAAUAGGACCACGCGCUUCAUGGUGUGUGGUGGAAAGCUUUUGCGGUGUGGGAUGGGCCCGCGGCCUAUCAGCUUGUUGGUGGGGUAAUGGCCUACCAAGGCGACGACGGGUAGCCGGCCUGAGAGGGUGACCGGCCACACUGGGACUGAGAUACGGCCCAGACUCCUACGGGAGGCAGCAGUGGGGAAUAUUGCACAAUGGGCGCAAGCCUGAUGCAGCGACGCCGCGUGAGGGAUGACGGCCUUCGGGUUGUAAACCUCUUUCAAUAGGGACGAAGCGCAAGUGACGGUACCUAUAGAAGAAGCACCGGCCAACUACGUGCCAGCAGCCGCGGUAAUACGUAGGGUGCGAGCGUUGUCCGGAAUUACUGGGCGUAAAGAGCUCGUAGGUGGUUUGUCGCGUUGUUCGUGAAAACUCACAGCUUAACUGUGGGCGUGCGGGCGAUACGGGCAGACUAGAGUACUGCAGGGGAGACUGGAAUUCCUGGUGUAGCGGUGGAAUGCGCAGAUAUCAGGAGGAACACCGGUGGCGAAGGCGGGUCUCUGGGCAGUAACUGACGCUGAGGAGCGAAAGCGUGGGGAGCGAACAGGAUUAGAUACCCUGGUAGUCCACGCCGUAAACGGUGGGUACUAGGUGUGGGUUCCUUCCUUGGGAUCCGUGCCGUAGCUAACGCAUUAAGUACCCCGCCUGGGGAGUACGGCCGCAAGGCUAAAACUCAAAGGAAUUGACGGGGGCCCGCACAAGCGGCGGAGCAUGUGGAUUAAU
rnacentral:rRNA from 1 species